AAAGGAACAAAAGGAACAACCCACCACGUUCUUUCCUGUGUCUUCUUUGUUUUGUUUAAUUGAAGCAAAAGAGCACGCAUUCAUUUCAUUUCUUUGUCUCUUUUUGCUUCAAAUUAAAACAAACAAAGGACACAGAGAAUGAGCCGUGUGGAAGAAGAGAAAGGAACCGAACACAAUGAAAU
rnacentral:ribozyme from 1 species